rnacentral:lncRNA from 1 species
GGCUCUGUGGCGAAAGAACAACACAUCGACCCGCACAUCGACAGCAAAAUUGAUGUCAUGUUGGAUAUGGCUCCGGGUCCCAAUGAUGCAAUUGACAAAAAACCAGAACCAGGAUAUAACGGAACUGGCAUCUCGGGUGCCCCACGUUCAAAAGGAACUCUGACCACGCAAUUGCAGUGCGGUGACUGCAGCUGCAAGCUUCCUAUAGAUAUAGCAGAUUAUGGACCAAAACAGGGCUGCACUGCAAAGGUGCAAAAAUUAAUUUGUUCUUGCAAGAGGAGCAGCUGCUCUAUCAACCAAGUUGCGAAGUGCCUGCAAACUUUCGCCUCCGAUAAAUGUAAACAGAACGAUUGGUUACGAGCC